GAAAAGAAAGAGACAUUGGUGACAUUGAUUUCACCAUAGUGACAAAGAAUUAUAGCCUUGUUUCUUAAAGAUACAAGUACACUGAACAAUAACCUCAGU